rnacentral:lncRNA from 1 species
GGCCGACUCAGGACUCAGAAUAGGGCUCAAUCCUAAACCAUCCCUUAAACCCUGUGCCCUAUGCACAUCUGAGAGGAAUUGACAAUUAACCAAACUCGUAAUAGCUCCACCUUGCCCUCUAGAUGGAAGUUUUCCAUAUUGCUCAUACCAAUCAAAUCCUCUCACAUCUCCACAAGUGUAUAUGGAUUAGGGGACGAUUUGUGAUUGUCCCUAGAGCUCGUAUUGGACCUUGAGGAACGCUCCAACUGCCAAAAAAAUGACCUUACAUCCAAGCCUGUCACUGCUACACUAGCAGCUGCUCCCUCACAUCUGACCCUGGACUAUACCUGCUGCUUUCUCCUAUAGGGGAGAGAGGGCAUCCUCUCCUGAGUCCGUAAGGGAGUUGCAGCGAUGGGACAAGACUAACUACCAAUUGGGGAGAAAUGAAACGUAAGGUCAUGGGGACGAAGAUACUUCAAUUUUCCUCCAAGAGUUGCUGAAUAUCCUCCUCCUGUCUUCUGUUUUAAUAUACAGUAUUUGGCAUUUCUUGAGUUUUUACGUCAGGUUUUUGCUCACUCCGGUAACCUGUGCCUUAAAAUUAAUCUGAG